GGGUGUUUCCUUCAGGGUUCUCUCCCCCGGCAGCUCCCUCCACAGAGUUGCUUCCCUUAGGCCCGGUCUCCCUUGCUUCCUCAGUGCCUCCGGCUCUCCCUGCCAUCUCACUGCCUGAGUCAGUCUCUUCUGGUUUCCCGUGUUCCUCUUUUUCUUGCCCCACAUCUCCUUUUACACCAGGUGAAGAAGGAGCCCUGAAGAGUUCUUUGCAAUACAGCUCAUUUUAUUCGGAAAUAUAUUUAGACCACACAAUUCAAGAAGUUUCUGUACCUCCAAAAAUAAUUCUACAAAAUAACUUUAAGUUGAAGGGCCAGUUCCUGUGAAGCCUCAAUGAAACUGCUCAAUCAAGAUCUCCACUGUGUGCGCAGUAAUAGUAAAAACAUUAUAUUUCAUUUUGAAUGUGACUGAAAAUAAUGCCUACAUUAUAAUCCCAUAAUUUCACUUAUUUUCCACAAAGACAUCAUAUACAGAUAUAUGAUACAGAUAGAUGUUUUAUGUACUAAGUAAGUAAAAUAAUACAUAUGAACUCAGUUCUGGUCUCUGUCUCCAAAGGAACAUUUGAAAAAAUUGGCAAGUAUGGAACCAGUGUCCUACUAAAAUAGACUGAGAACCAUGUGGUGAUUUACCUUAGAAAGAAAAUACAUAAGAAGGAUGUGUAAAAGUAAACACAAUAGUGAAUGGCUAAGAAAAGUUAGGUCAGGAACUUGAGUAAAACCUGUCUCAGAAUACAAGAAAAAGGAAGAUCCAAUGAGGAUUAAAGGCAGAAAAACUGAAAAUGAUAAAAGGAAUUUCUUUUGCAUCUAGCUCACACAAUUUGACUGUGGAACACACAGCCACAAAAUAUAACAGAGACCAAGACAUAAGGGGAUCUGGAGGGGAAAAAAAUCCCCAGCCAUUUACAUGCAUGUAAGUUGUGAUAAAAAGUCAUAGAACUUUAUACAAAGUGUGUAAUCAUUUGUGGCUGAUUCCCAUCACACCUUUGAUUGAACAGAUGGCCAUAGUCCCUGAUAUGAUGGGGCUCCACUGGGGGAGCACACGGUGUGCCUCCACAGCUGGGAGCUCUAAACAUCUGAUCGGGGUUACCCAGCCAGGGUAGUGCAGGGAGCCAAGCUUGCUACUUGCCAAUGCAAGGGGAGGCCAGGAUAGGGCUCCCUCUGCACCAGCAAUAUGAUUUAAUGGGACCUGAUUUGGAAUCCCACCAAUCAUGCCUUCUGCCAUGCACAUGUGGCAUGGCAGGAAGGAUGAUUGUUGGGAUCCUGCAUCACAUACCAUUAGGCCAUUUACUUCAGUGUCUAUCAAGGGCCUAUCAGAGAUACUGAACUAGAUCUAGUAUUUGCUCUGAUCCAGUUUGUUCUUUUUAAAAAUAUGCAUAAGUGUUUAUUACAUUCCCAGGAAUGCUCCAUGUAUAGCCACUGUUCAUAGUUCCCAGUCACUGGCCUAUUAGGGAUUCUGUGAUAAAGAACCACUGUAACUGGAAUAGACUAUUUGCUUUGUUUGUAGCUGACACAUACUGGGUUUCAGCAUUUGUUAUAUAGUUAUAUACUAUUCUCUUGGUCUUUUCCUUCCUUAGCAUGUGCUACUCAAGUGCUCUCUCUUAUGUAAACUAGGAUGUCACAUAUUAAAGACCACUUGUGGU